GGGAAAAAUAUCAAAGGGAGCUCAAAGACUGGGAGUUGGU
rnacentral:sRNA from 1 species